UAGCAAGAAGAAUAGGUGACAUUUUAAAAAUUUCAUUUAAAACCGGAUUGCUGAAUUAUAGAAUUAUUUCCUUGCCCUCACAAUGUACAAAGUGUGUAUGUGCGGCUUUUGCGUUUUCACACAAUUUGCAACUUUGCUGUACAAUCAAAACGAUGCGGAAUGUAGUGUUGGCCCAUGUGGGUUUGUUUUGUCAUUCAGUGCAAGGUCACCUAUGUAUAUUAAAAAAAAAAUACCAAAGCAUAUAAUGAGUCGGUGUGAUUUUAUCCAUUUAUCUUAUUAUCUUGUUCAUAAAUGUUGCUGGAGUAAAACCUAAUUUGCUUCUAUGUAUUAUACACAUAUAAAAAAAUAAAUUCUUUCAAACGCUUUGAGAUAAUGGC